UGGGGAAUAUUGCGCAAUGGGCGCAAGCCUGAUGCAGCGACGCCGCGUGAGGGAUGAAGGCCUUCGGGUUGUAAACCUUUUUCGCUCAUGGUCAAGCCGCAGCUUUGGGUUGUGGUGAGGGUAGUGGGUAAAGAAGCGCCGGCUAACUACGUGCCAGCAGCCGCGGUAAUACGUAGGGCGCGAGCGUUGUCCGGAAUUAUUGGGCGUAAAGGGCUUGUAGGCGGUUGGCCGCGUCUGCCGUGAAAUCCUCUGGCUUAACUGGGGGCGUGCGGUGGGUACGGGUUGACUUGAGUGCAGAAGAGGAAAGUGGAAUUCCAUGUGUAGCGGUGAAAUGCGCAGAGAUAUGGAGGAACACCAGUGGCGAAGGCGACUUUCUGGUCUGUAACUGACGCUGAUGUGCGAAAGCGUGGGGAUCAAACAGG
rnacentral:rRNA from 1 species